GACGUAGGUGGCAAGCGUUGUUCGGAAUCACUGGGCAUAAAGCGCGCGUAGGCGGCGGAGUAAGUCGGGGUGUGAAAUCCCUCGGCUCAACCGAGGAACUGCGCCCGAUACUGCUUUGCUUGAGGGCCGGAGGGGAGAGUGGAAUCCCGGUGGAGCGGUGAAAUGCGUAGAGAUCGGGAAGAACGCCGGCGGCGAAAGCGACUCCUGGACCAAUACUGACGCUGAGGUGACGAAAGCGUGGGGAGCAAACGGG
rnacentral:rRNA from 1 species